CCACGUUCCACCUGAACACUGUGCCUUCACAAUUACGUUUACAGCCAUUUAUUCGUCCGUUGACCCAGGGAACACGGAAAAGGUGCUGCUGAACGGGAGCGAGGAGGGCAGCGUCCUUGCCUGUCUGCAGUGCGGGGACAGUGGUCUCACCCACGUCCCAAGGAGGCCAUCAGACCACGUUCCGUCAGCGCGUCAGCCCCACACACUGUGCGCCCAAUCCCGCAGCGUCUCCUCGCGGGACACGUGCACCGCCUGGGGCCCUGUCAUUUCCCUUGCAAAUCUCCCCGAGGGAGCAGCAUCCCAGGGAGGAAGCCUCCCUGGACCCAGAACAUUCCAGCGCUCGCAGCAGAAGCUCAGGAAUACCGAAUGGGAGGAAGAAGAGGGGAACUAAGGGACCUCGCUUCAGAGACACCAAUGGAACCGGAGGCAGAGAAGCCAGUGGGAAAUGAGCAGGGUGUGGAGUGAGGUCAUCAGAAAAGAUUCAACCUUGGGGCGCCUGGGUGGCGCAGUCGGUUAAGCGUCCGACUUCAGCCAGGUCACGAUCUCACGGUCCGUGAGUUCGAGCCCCGCGUCGGGCUCUGGGCUGAUGGCUCAGAGCUGGAGCCUGUUUCCGAUUCUGUGUCUCCCUCUCUCUCUGCCCCUCCCCCAUUCAUGCUCUGUCUCUCUCUGUCCCAAAAAUAAAUAAACGUUGAAAAAAUUUAAAAAAAAAAAA
rnacentral:lncRNA from 1 species